GGGGGGGGGGGGGGGCGGGGGGGGGGGGGGGGGGGGGGGCGGGGGGGCGGGGGGUGUGUGGGGUGGGGGGGGGGGGGGCGGGUGAGUGGCCCGCGGGGAGCCGGCCCCUGGCUGUGGGUGGACCUCCGGCAGCUGGGGCGCGUACCGGGGCGGGGCGCCUUCUGCGUGGGGUUGCUUGGGACGGUCCGGCUGGCGUGGAUGGACUCGCUGCUUCUCAGCUGGUUUGUGGGGUUGUGGCUUACCAAGGCUUUGACGGGUAGCCGGCCUGAGAGGGUGAGCGGGCACAAUGGGACUGAGAUACGGCCCAGACUCCUACGGGAGGCAGCAGUGGGGAAUAUUGCACAAUGGGCGGAAGCCUGAUGCAGCAACGCCGCGUGCGGGAUGACGGCCUUCGGGUUGUAAACCGCUUUCGCCGGUGACGAAGCGUGAGUGACGGUAAUGGGUAAAGAAGCACCGGCUAACUACGUG
rnacentral:rRNA from 1 species